GACGAACGCUGGCGGCGUGCUUAACACAUGCAAGUCGAACGGAAAGGCCCUGCUUUUGUGGGGUGCUCGAGUGGCGAACGGGUGAGUAACACGUGAGUAACCUGCCCUUGACUUUGGGAUAACUUCAGGAAACUGGGGCUAAUACCGGAUAGGAGCUCCUGCUGCAUGGUGGGGGUUGGAAAGUUUCGGCGGUUGGGGAUGGACUCGCGGCUUAUCAGCUUGUUGGUGGGGUAGUGGCUUACCAAGGCUUUGACGGGUAGCCGGCCUGAGAGGGUGACCGGCCACAUUGGGACUGAGAUACGGCCCAGACUCCUACGGGAGGCAGCAGUGGGGAAUAUUGCACAAUGGGCGGAAGCCCGAUGCAGCAACGCCGCGUGCGGGAUGACGGCCUUCGGGUUGUAAACCGCUUUCGCCUGUGACGAAGCGUGAGUGACGGUAAUGGGUGAAGAAGCACCGGCUAACUACGUG
rnacentral:rRNA from 1 species